rnacentral:rRNA from 1 species
AGUGAACGCUGGCGGUAGGCCUAACACAUGCCAGUCGAACGGCAGCACAGUAAGAGCUUGCUCUUACGGGUGGCGAGUGGCGGACGGGUGAGGAAUACAUCGGAAUCUACUUUUUCGUGGGGGAUAACGUAGGGAAACUUACGCUAAUACCGCAUACGACCUACGGGUGAAAGCAGGGGAUCUUCGGACCUUGCGCGAUUGAAUGAGCCGAUGUCGGAUUAGCUAGUUGGCGGGGUAAAGGCCCACCGAGGCGACGAUCCGUAGCUGGUCUGAGAGGAUGAUCAGCCACACUGGAACUGAGACACGGUCCAGACUCCUACGGGAGGCAGCAGUGGGGAAUAUUGGACAAUGGGCGCAAGCCUGAUCCAGCCAUACCGCGUGGGUGAAGAAGGCCUUCGGGUUGUAAAGCCCUUUUGUUGGGAGAGAAAAGCAGCAGGUUAAUACCCCGCUGUUCUGACGGUACCCAAAGAAUAAGCACCGGCUAACUUCGUG